CAACACCAUCCGUCUAUAUAAUGCUCUUUUUGCUUCUUCAUAUCAUCUGUCUCAGAUCUACAUUUUCCUUUUAUCCAAACAGAUCCAAACCUAAGGCUACACUCAGCUGCAAUUAUGUAUGCUGUAGAUCUGUCUCUAAGGUUCAUAUAUGUGAGUUUCGAUCCCUGGUGAUCUCAUCGGGAUCAAUCUACGGCGUCCAUGUCUGAGUCCGGAUCUCCUCUUAUCUCAAAUAGAUAAAGCCCUUCCACUGAUUUCCAAUAGAUCGAGCCUACUGGUUAUAGGGUUGGGAAUGCUAUAGAAGAUGCUAUCAACCAACAACCAGAAAGUACUCUGUGGCUUCGAUCCUCAGCAAGCGUUUCUGUCACAGCUUCUUGCAAUAUAUCUUCAAGCUGGUUCAAAGUCUAGUAAGUUUAAGAUUUCUAGGCUUCACAAAUAAUCUGUGUGGUGUAAGCUGAUUUACAUAGAAAGCCAUAAUCUCAAGUGCUUCAAGUGUAUUAGGUCCUUAAGUUAUCUUGUUUAGUUAUCAUUUGGCAUAAAAGAUCUUGUGAAAAGAACUUCUCAUGAAUUAAUUUGGAUGUAACAACCAAAAAAAAAAAAAAACAAGCAAAGAAAAAGAAAAUCUAUCAAAAGAAAAAAAGAGAAAAAAAAUCUAGAUAAACAUAACCCUCCUUACCAGAGUUGCUGAACAUUUUUAGUACACCUCUAAGUUCAUAUGCAAAUGUUUAUGUUCUAUCAGAAAGUUCCUAACAAAAUGUUGAAGAGAAGAGUGAGUUUCUAAUAAUCUGGGUCCUAGAUCUUGAAGGAGUUCAAUUUGCACAUUGUAGCUCGCUUACAAAUUAAAAACCUAGUUUGCUUUGCAAAUGGUAGCUUGUCAAUACAAAUUAGAAACCUAAUUCACUUGGGCACCUGAGAUUAUGUCAAUUAUGUAUAUAGAAGAUCUUCCACCAUUGAUAGGUUAUUUUGGGAUCCUACAAAUCAUGGACUUAUUGUUUAGAUUGAGACAAUGAAGAAACUAUCAAUGUGUAUUGCAGAUCUAGCAUCAAGUGCUCUAGAAUCAUUCUCACAUUGCAGCAUUUGGAGCUGGAUGUACUGUUAACAGAUUAUGACUUUUGCUCUCAUAGCCACCCUUACAAAGUUUGAUUUACCCAAGCAGGAUUUGGGGCUCCCUGAACCCACUAGGUAAAUAAAGAUUUAUAAGAGUGGUAGAAAUUAUCAUAGAUUUGGACAAAAAUACAAAGAAAGAUGGACGUAAAAUCUUGGAAAAAGUGGGUUUUGACUUGCUAAUAUAAAAAGAUAAGGAAAAAGGAACCUAAGUUUUUUAAAUCAGAAUUAUCUUCAUCUAUUUAAAAAUAAUUUGAAAUACAAGUAUUUUUUUAUGAGUCAUAUAAUUAUUUUUUAAAAAGAGGGAAAAUAUUUAUGUGAAAGAGUUUAGUUGUCAAUUGAUAUUGAUAACAUGAUAAGUAAAUAGUGUAGUUGUCAAUUGUUAUUGAUAGCAUGACAAUUAUAAAGGGUAUUUUAAGGAAUAAUUAUAUGACUUAUUAAAAAGUGUAUGUAUUCUAAAUUAUUUUUAAAUAAAUGAAUAUAAUAUUAAUUUAAAAUUUGAGGUUUUUUUUCCAUAUAUUUUAAUUUAGUGAAUCAAAAGAAUCUUGUUAUAAUGGUAUGUCAUGAAUCUGAGUCAGGUUGAAAUGAAGCUAUAAGUAUAGAAAAUCUCUAUUAUGCAGGCAAUGAAGAGGAAAACUAAGGUACCAUUGAAGGUUAGUUAUCAAAUUAGGCAGCGUAAUCGAGGGCGGUGUCGGCGUUGCCAUUAUAGUGUUAAAUUGAUGUAGGGUUUUGCCUCUUAAAAUGUUAAGACCAAGUUCCAAGCGCUGACAAGGAAAUAAGAGGAUGCUGCCUAUUGGUUUUUCAAGAGAGAGUAUGUAACGCUAGAUUCAGCACUCUUUAAGCACGAAAAAUCAAUUUGGCUGAAAGCUAUGCCUUACAUACCAGGUUCACUGACUAGGAACAGACGUUGAAUAGCUGGCAAAUAACAUGAUUAUCAAGGUUUUUAAUAAACAAUUAAUUGAAGUAGUACCUUAUAUUUUUUUAGUGGAAAGUUUUAGUGAUCCCAGUUAUAAAAUGUUGAGAGUGCAUGACAACCUAAAAAGAGAAAAAAAUUCUGAUAAUCAAAAUUAUUCGAGUAAAAUCUAAAAUUUUACUGCUGAACCAAAAUCUGCUAGCUUAAAUUGCUUAAUGUGGAUUCUACCUCCUUAGGGAAAAUAUGAUUUCUAGAACAUAGAAUGAACUACGAUUCAUACUCGCUUAAAUCGUCGAAAGAGCUUAGAAGUGAUGAAUCUGAAUCAAAGAAGUCUUCAAUUACAAAUAGAAAGCUUUGUUUCGGGCCUUGUUUUGUUCCAAACCUUAUUUUACUCAUCGAAUUUAUUUCAGUUCUGAUUAAAAGUAUUAAGGAUGGAUAUGUUGGAGAAAAAUACAAGAAAAGAAAAUAGAGAAAAAAACUAAAAUAAAAGAAAAAAUAAGGAAAAAUAAAAA